UCCUGCCUUCAGAAGUAUGUUUUUCUUUACCAAAUAAGAUCUAAAAGAUAGAACAUUCUGGCAAUUUUGAAAUUCAGAUGUUCUUUUGAUUAUAAAUGUUAAAAUGUGAGACAUGGUUUAUUAUGUUUGUAGUAGGAAAAGUUAGCGGAUUCUGCCAUUGGAUGGAUUGUUGGCGGGUUUAGCUUUGUUAGCUGGUUAGGCCCUUUUAGCUCUUAUUUGGUAAAGAAAAACNNNNGCUGCCUGGUUUGGCAUGUUCUGCUUGCUUUAUUUAUGAUAGUAAUGUAUUAACAAUCAAGGGGGCG
rnacentral:misc_RNA from 1 species